AACGCUGGCGGCGUGCUUAACACAUGCAAGUGGAGCGACGAACCAGGGCUUGCCCUGGGGCAGAGCCGCGAACGGGUGAGUAACACGUGGGUAACCUACCCCGAUGACCGGGACAACCCGAGGAAACUCGGGCUAAUACCGGAUGUUCUCGUUUCUCGUAAGGGAACCGAGUAAAGAUAGCUUUGGCCUUCGCAUCGGGACGGGCCCGCGGCCCAUUAGCUUGUUGGUGAGGUAACGGCUUACCAAGGCGACGAUGGGUAGCUGGUCUGAGAGGACGAUCAGCCACACUGGGACUGAGACACGGCCCAGACUCCUACGGGAGGCAGCAGUGGGGAAUCUUGCGCAAUGGGCGAAAGCCUGACGCAGCAACGCCGCGUGGGGGAAGAAGGCCUUCGGGUUGUAAACCCCUUUCAGUUGGGACGAAGCUUCCAGAGUUAAUAGCUUUGUGGAGUGACGGUACCUUCAGAAGAAGCCCCGGCUAACUACGUGCCAGCAGCCGCGGUAAUACGUAGGGGGCUAGCGUUGUCCGGAAUCAUUGGGCGUAAAGCGCGUGUAGGCGGUCCGGUAAGUCCGCUGUGAAAGUCGGGGGCUCAACCCUCGGAUGCCGGUGGAUACUGUCGGGCUUGAGUACGGAAGAGGCGAGUGGAAUUCCUGGUGUAGCGGUGAAAUGCGCAGAUAUCAGGAGGAACACCAAUUGCGAAGGCAGCUCGCUGGGACGUUACUGACGCUGAGACGCGAAAGCGUGGGGAGCAAACAGGAUUAGAUACCCUGGUAGUCCACGCUGUAAACGAUGGGCACUAGGUGUGGGGGGUGUCGACUCCCUCCGUGCCGAAGCUAACGCAUUAAGUGCCCCGCCUGGGGAGUACGGC
rnacentral:rRNA from 1 species